UUUUUGUUUCCAGUUUACCUAUUAUUGAAAUUUUAUUUUCUAACAUCAUUUCUUUUGUUUCUUUUUUCUCUUUUGCGCACAUUACCAAUUUUUCUUUCUUCAUUGGAGAACUUAGGUGUAUUGUUUUUCUUUCAUUACUUUGAUUUAUCAUUUGUUGCCGCUUUGCUACGGUACAGACACUUAGUUUCUGUGUGGUGCUAUCAUUACUGUUGUGCUAUUUUUAUGUUGGGAAUCGUAUACUCUUUUAUUUCCUUAUUAUUUGUUAUGAACCGUUCUUUCAUGUGAAGGAUGGGUGGUUUAUUUUAGUUUAUAGCUUUGGUUGUAAUCGUUUGUAGGAAACUUUGUAGGUGGAAGAUGUGUGAUAUUUACUCCUUCAGCAAAUAAUGAGCUUUAAGAACUAUUGUUUCUAUUUGUGGUAAGCGAUCGAUUGCCUUGUAGGGGUUCCUAUAGGUGUUGGAAUCACGACUAUUGUGUCGGCAACGAAAAAGAUCAAGUGUGUAACGAAAAUUUUGAAAAAUAGUGAACAAUGUGAAAUCGAAAAGUUGAUUGUUGACACCACACGGCCGUGUGCCAAACCAUGUGAACUGAUCUAGGUCAAUUGGAUCGUGUGGCCCACACAGACGUGUGGGCCCAAUUUCUAAAAUUCCACCUUAGGGUCGUAUUUGUUGUGUAAAUCAAAUUUAACCUUCCAUAAGGUUUGUAUGGUAUAAAUAUGACUAUAAAUAUUGAUAUAUGAUGCUCUAUUUUUGUUUAAUGUGAA